UUGCAUUGAUAAAGGAGGAGAGAAACCACCUGGGUGACCUUCUAGCGGCGAGUGAAGCGGUGAAAGCUGGAUUUGGAAUCCGGUACUUUCAGUGCCCGAGUUGUAAUUUGUAGAAUUUGUCCUUGAUGAGGUCCUUGUCUAUGUUCCUUGGAACAGGACGUCAUAGAGGGUGAGAAUCCCGUUUGGUGGGUUUCUUUUUUCCCCCUUAUAUUUAUGCACAGAGUCGAGUUGUUUGGGAAUGCAGCUCAAAGGUGGGUGGUAAAUUCCAUCUAAAGCUAAAUAUUGGCGAGAGACCGAUAGCGAACAAGUACAGUGAUGGAAAGAUGAAAAGAACUUUGAAAAGAGAGUGAAAAAGUACGUGAAAUUGUUGAAAGGGAAGGGUAUUUGAUCAAACAUGGUGUUUUUUGCAUGCCCCCCCCCCUCGUGGGCUUGGGCCUCUCAAAAAUUUCACUGGGCCAACAUCAAUUCUGGCAGCAGGAUACAUCAUUAAGAAUGUAGCUACUUCGGUAGUGUUAUAGCUUUUUGGAAUACUGUUAGCCGGGAUUGAGGACUGCGCUUCGGCAGGAUGUUAGCAUAAUGGUUAAAUGCCGCCGACUUGAAACACGGACCAA
rnacentral:rRNA from 1 species